rnacentral:tRNA from 2 species
GACCUAUUAGCUCAGUUGGUAGAGCACCUGACUUUUAAUCAGGGUGUCCCGCGUUCGAGUCGCGGAUGGGUCACCA